rnacentral:lncRNA from 13 species
CUAGUGAAUGUAUAGAAGAAAAAGGAAUGCAUUGACCAUGUUCAAAAAUGAAUGGGUAUCUCGCAACUUGAAGAAAUCCGCGAAAGGAUUUGGAGGAAAAAGCAAAUUGAUUGGGAAAUUUAUAGAUGAAUUGUUACUUUUUUUACGGAUUAACUAUCCGUCGUAAUUGUGAAUUAAUAGAAAAUAUGAGACGAGAGAUCUGGGCGACCCUUUAUCAUAAGUUAUCCACAGUCGAAAAGCCACAGCACGAGAAAUGCCCGCCCAGUAAAGAUUUGUGGUGCAAGUGGCAGGCGAAAACCACUUAUAAAAUGGCUGAAUUUAAGCAUAAGCCAGCUUUUCUUCAAAUGGUUUUUGAUGCUAUUUAGUCAAUCUAUAAAGAAUUAAGUAGUGACGAUCUUCUUCAACGUUGCUUAGAUGGCUACACGCAAAACAGUAACAAAAGUUUUAACGCUUUGAUUUGGUCAAUGGCUCCAAAAACAGUUUCCAGCGGUAAAAUUAUUCUGGAUACUGCAUGUAAUAUUGUUGUUUGCAUAUACAAUGAUGGCUACUCAAAUAUCAUAAAAAUCAUGGAAGAGUUAAGCAUGUCAAUUGGACCGAACUGUUAUAAUUACUGCCUCGAGACUGACGCGCGGUGCAUCAAAUAUUCGGAGCGCUUGCUGACAAAUGCUGCAAAAGAGGCUUGAUCGUCUUUAAAAUUGGUCAAGAAGGAUGAAGAGGAGGAGAAUAUCAAUAAGGAAGGCCAAUUGGUAUGGUGCAAGUAUUGUAGAUUAAAGCAAAAAUUGGAGAUUUUGGUACGACAGUGAGGCACCUUUUGAAAGAAGUCAUCGUUGCCAAACUUUAUUACCGCUAUUUUGGAAUAAAAAUAUACAACAAAAAUUUUUUUAUACUUAAAAGUAUGUAGAAUAAGGUACUUAAAACGUAUUUUGCAUUACUGUUUUUGUUUUCCUGUAAAAAAUGCAAACUGCCUUCUCGCCACUCCGCGGAUCGGUCAUCAACCACAAGCGCCUGGCCGAACAUCCGCCAGGUGUAGAAAAAGCGCUGCGCGCCCAUAACAUAAUUUAAACGCGCCUAUGCGAGCGACGAGGCAUCUACGCGUCGAGUAUCUCGACGAACACGCGCGCCGAUUUGAACUGGCACGCGCUAUCGGCGUGCUCGCUCGCCUCCGUUCGCUUUCCGAGCGACCAAUCUCGAGCGGCUGGGAUGCUGACACCGAAACGAACCGAAUCGCCCCGAUACCGAACAUCCCCGACGUCUUGAGAUUUGGGUAUAAAAGAGCCAGAGCAGCGAGAUGCUGCGCUUUUUUUCCGCCGACUAGUCUCUGAAGAAGUCUCCCGAGGUAGUCUGAGGUCAAGCGUCUUGGCCUCUGUCGAGUGUUCUUGGCGGCUACCGCUCUUGCACCCGUCUCUCCUCACUGAAGUUGGGCUCAAGCGUGCUUGGGCUCUGGCAAGAGUUCUUGCCUGACCGGCAUCCUAAUACCGAUCUGAUCCCGUCGCAGUGGCUAAAGACAAACGGGGUAAAGCGUCUUUGCUUUCGUCGAGCGUACUCGAUAGCCGCUGCAUCCCAUCUGCAGAUAGUAACGCGCCGCAGAUUUGUCUGAUUUAAAGAGACGUUCAGCUGGGCGUCACUCCGCGUCCCGCCGCCGCGCCGGCGACCGUGAAAUCCGACGCGAUCUAGUUUUGGGAAAGUACGAACAGAAAAAGCGGACCGCUCGCCGAGCCGAACAACAGCUCACGUCGAAGACCCGCACCGUUGGAAAGCUACGCGCACCGAGUCAGGUGCAUUACCUAUUUUUUCGGCCUACGAAUUAAACCGUUAAUUUGCCGUAUGUCGAUCGCCACCGGUGGAUUAUACGGCCGACAACGUGAAUUUACCGGUGACACGUUUACGUUUAUCUUGUAAAUACUUUAUAUUACGCUAUUACGAAUUACUUUGUCUAUUUUUUAUAUUUUGUAUUCAUUUCUCUAAGUCGAUUGCUAAAUAAACUUGUACAUAUUUUAUACAUUCAAA